AUAAAGUUCCAUUUUUUUGAAAUUUUAUUUUGCUGCAUAACGUUAUGAAAUUCUCAUUAAGUAAAAUAAUUUGAAUCGAGAAAUACACUAUAAAAAACAAAGUGCGACCAUAAUUUUCAUCUUGUUUUAAGCAAAUAAUUUAAAAUUCAUACACAAUAUAUGAAGGAACGUUAUAUCUAAAACUAAUAAUUAAUUUGCUACUUUUCUUUCAGACACUGACGAAAGCAGAUAUUUUAAAGACAGCCAGAUUACUACGAGUCUGGUGCCGUACUACUUUUGUUAAUGGUUACGUUCUCACUAGUAGGACACUAAGUAGCUUACAAGACUUUGUGUGUUUGAUGCCAUUGAGUGACUGCACAUGGACAAAAGCCAUAGGACGGUUAGUGUCGCCACAAGUACCAGUGAAGCUUACAUUGUCAACGUCACAAAUAGUGAACCCAGCAUAGAGACGUAUUACAUCACAGCAUUUUACGUUUACGUUGCUGACGUCAAUAGGAUUAGGAAACGUGUCACCAAAUACUUACGGCGAGGAAAUAUUCUCAACAUUUGCUGUUCUGCUCGGUUCUCGACGAAGUGAGCGGUCUAACUGGCGCAGAAGAACGACUAGAGCGGGACCGCAGAUUGGAGAUGAGCCGUUAUUUAGCCUAUAGUGACAUAAAUACAGCGUUCAAAGACAAAUCAGUGAAAAUUUUCAGCUAUUACAACAAUGUCACAGUUCGUUUCCGGCGGAAAUAACAUAUUAUUCUGGGAAACAUCACACGGUGGAGCGCCCUGUACUAAUCGUCCACAUUCCUUGGAAGCUGAUGAUACAGUGCCACCUGUAAAAGUGAAACAAACGUCACAGUCAAACCUCGUAAAAUCGGCUGCAAACUAAACCAUCAGCAAGGUGCAAGUGCUCAAUGGCAAAGUCACAACAAACAGAUCGAGCCUUUGCCCGGACACAGACGCACAACGCCAGCCGAUACUAGUA